AGAAUUAGGCAAAAAUAGAAACAAAAAUCUCUUGCAUUUGUAAUUAUCUUAUAUUUUAGGGUCCACUGAGGCCGAGGUCAGUGUGAAAUCAGUGUGAAUGGAGAGUUUAUUCCAGUUUAUUUAUAUUAAUGUCUGUUGUUUCCAGGCUGGAAAAUGUCUAAAUGCUCCUCAGUGGCUGGAAACACGACCAGUAAGGUUGUGCAGAGCGCCUCGUCUCCGUCCUGGGAGCAGUUUGACAGCAGGUGACCUUUGACCUCCUGCAGACCUGCUCCAUGCAGCUCCGACUGGUUCCAGACAGAAACAUUAUUAGAGAAUAAUUCUCUGCUGAAUCAGCUCGCGGAGAGCUGAAGCAGAUUAUCUAUUAUCUGUAGAGUCCAUGUUUCACAGGAAGCAUUCC